GGAGAGAUGGCCGAGUGGUUAAUGGCAGCAGACUGUAAAUCUGCCGCGCUUCGCGCUUCGGAGGUUCGAAUCCUCCUCUCUCCACCA
rnacentral:tRNA from 1 species